AGCAGCCGCGGUAAUUCCAGCUCCAAUAGCGUAUAUUAAAGUUGUUGCAGUUAAAAAGCUCGUAGUUGAAUUUCGGGGUCAGUAGGCUGGUCGUGCCACAGGUAUGCACUGGUCUCACUGAUUCCUCCUUCCUGAUGGACCGUAAUGCCAUUAAUUUGGUGUUGCGGGGAAUCUGGACUGUUACUUUGAAAAAAUUAGAGUGUUUAAAGCAGGCUAACGCCUGAAUACAUUAGCAUGGAAUAAUGAAAUAGGACGAUCGAUCCUAUUUUGUUGGUUUCUAGGAUUGACGUAAUGAUUAAUAGGGAUAGUUGGGGGCAUUAGUAUUCAAUUGUCAGAGGUGAAAUUCUUGGAUUUAUUGAAGACUAACUACUGCGAAAGCAUUUGCCAAGGAUGUUUUCAUUAAUCGAGAACGAAAGUUAGGGGAUCGAAGACGAUCAGAUACCGUCGUAGUCUUAACCAUAAACUAUGCCGACUAGGGAUCGGAUGAUGUUAAUUUUUAAUGA
rnacentral:rRNA from 1 species